rnacentral:tRNA from 1 species
GCUGGAAUAGCUCAGCUGGGAGAGCAGUAGACUGAAGUUCUAAAGGUCGGGCGUUCGAUCCGCCCUUCUGGCA